rnacentral:rRNA from 1 species
CCUACGGGUGGCAGCAGUGGGGAAUAUUGGACAAUGGGGGGAACCCUGAUCCAGCGACGCCGCGUGAGUGAAGAAGUAUUUCGGUAUGUAAAGCUCUAUCAGCAGGGAAGAAAGAAACGACGGUACCUGAAUAAGACGCCCCGGCUAACUACGUGCCAGCAGCCGCUGUAAGACGUAGGCGGCAAGCGUUAUCAGGAUUUACUGGGUGUAAGGGGAGCGUAGACGGUUACGCAAGUCUGGAGUGAAAGGCGGGGGCCCAACCCCCGGACUGCUUUGGAAACUGUAUAACUGGAGUGCAGGAGAGGUAAGUGGAAUGCCUAGUGUAGCGGUGAAAUGCGUAGAUAUUAGGAGGAACACCAGUGGCGAAGGCGGCGUACUGGACUGUAACUGACGUUGAGGCUCGAAAGCGUGGGGAGCAAACAGGAUUAGAUACCCCUGUAGUC